rnacentral:lncRNA from 1 species
CCCACCCCCCCAAAACACUGUCUCCUUCCUCUGCAUUGGUGGCUCUGGACUCUUGUGUUUCUCCUCAUCUCCCUGUGAUCACUGUUUUCACUCUCUUGUUGGAUCCCCUUAGGCUCACUCUUCUCUCUGCUGUCUCUUCUGUUUAUCAUUCCAGUUGUGUCCAAUUCUUCAAAACCCCUUUGGGGAGGUUUUCUUGGCAGAAGUGCUGAGUGGUUGGCCAUUUCCUUCUCCAGUUCAUUUUGCAGAUGGGCAAUCUGAGGCAAACUUGGUUAAGUGAUUUGUCCAGUGUCUGAAGCCUAAUUUGAACUCUUGAAGAUGAGUCUCCUUUAUUCCAAGUCCACUGCUCUAUACACUGUGACAUUUAGCUGCCCUUAUAUGAUGCAGAUAUUCUUUACACACAGAUAUUAUUUGUUAGAAUCCCACCUUGAGGGCAGAACUGUCUCAGAUUUGUCUUUAAAUCCCCAGCAAUUAGCACAGUGCCUGGAAUAUGGCAGAUAUUUAAUAAAUGCUCAUUGAUCAAUGACUCUGAAAUGCCCAGUUUUCUCUGUCUCCUUAAUUCUAGAUCUUUGUUUCUAAUUGCCCAUUGAAGAAAUCCAUUUAGAUAAAUCACUGGUCCCUUAAACUCAACACUCUCCUCCUGAUUUCCCUGUUUCACUCAAAGUCCUCAAGAGUGGUCAUCAACUGCACUCAUUCCCCCGCCCCCCCCAUUUCAUUCCUGUCACCAUUAAUACAAAUUCUUAAAUUACCACCAGCCUGUAUGACUAUGAUAACCUCCUAGACAAUCUUUCUGUCUAUUCACUCCUCCUCUAAACCAGCCUUCCCAUUGGUCUUAUAUCAAUUCUCCUUAGGAGAAAUGAAACAGAUAGCACAGCAUGGGAGACAGAAUAUUUCCUUCUUAUUUCAUAUAUGAUAGACCUUUCUCGAGAUAGUAGGCUCCACAAAGGCAAGAAUCAAUACUCUACUUCUUUUAUACCUCUCCUACAAUGAGUGCCCUGCAUAAUGCUAGGCACAGAAUGUAGCUGUUCCGCAAAUACUUAAUUGAUAAGGAAUUUUUUUAUCCUACUAUUAGAAAACUCACAUGAACACAACUCAGAUGUAGG